rnacentral:rRNA from 1 species
UGGCGGCAUGCCUUACACAUGCAAGUCGAACGGCGAGCACGGGAGCAAUCCUGGUGGCGAGUGGCGAACGGGUGAGUAAUAUAUCGGAACGUGCCAGUCGUGGGGGAUAACGUAGCGAAAGCUACGCUAAUACCGCAUACGAUCUAUGGAUGAAAGCGGGGGAUCGCAAGACCUCGCGCGAUUGGAGCGGCCGAUAUCAGAUUAGGUAGUUGGUGAGGUAAAGGCUCACCAAGCCGACGAUCUGUAGCUGGUCUGAGAGGACGACCAGCCACACUGGGACUGAGACACGGCCCAGACUCCUACGGGAGGCAGCAGUGGGGAAUUUUGGACAAUGGGCGCAAGCCUGAUCCAGCAAUGCCGCGUGCAGGAUGAAGGCCUUCGGGUUGUAAACUGCUUUUGUACGGAACGAAACGGUGAGCUCUAAUACAGUUUGCUAAUGACGGUACCGUAAGAAUAAGCACCGGCUAACUACGUG